ensembl:misc_RNA Metazoa_SRP Metazoan signal recognition particle RNA
GCUGGGUAUGGUAGUUCAUGCCUGUGGUCCCAGCUACUUGGGAGGCUGAGGCAGGAGGAUUGCUUGAGUCUGGGAGGUUAAGGCUGCAGUGCACUGUGAUUGUGUCACUGCACUCUAGCCUAAGUGACAGAGCAAGACCCUGUCUCAA